CACAGGCCAUUCACGUCAACCUCCAGGCAUCCUCCGCGGCGGGCCCGGCCGGGCCGGCGGAGGGGAGCGGAAGCCCACCGGAGCUGGCCCGCCGCUGACCCGCCGCCUCCGGCUGCCUCCUCCCGGGCUCUGGGCCCAGCGCGCCCAGAUGCCGGGCAGGACCCCUCCGCCCGCUGCUGGAACACCAAUAGCAGCCUUGGAGCCUCUGGGCCGGAGGAACGGGGGCCUCCACCGACACCUGCUUCUUCCCUCACUUCGCAGCCUUCCACACCUGUUGAUCUGACCUCUGCCCCGCUGCCGCCAAGGAGUAACCUAAGGCUUUUGGCCUGAUUCGAGCUCACUCCGUCUAAACCUCUAAAUGCGGUGCGAAAAAAUCCUGGGGAAUGUGCCAUGCAAAGCCUGGGCAUUUCAAGUGCUUUUCUGGAUUCUCAUCAACUCCUCUUUACAGGCAUCUUUAUCCGGAAUUCAGCUCGUCCCAAACCCCACGUGGUGUAGCUCUGCUUGUGUUUUUGAAUCCCGGGGCCUCUUUGAAUCAGAAGCCCUUUGUAUAGAGAUAAGUAUCCUUUAGGCCAGAAUCAGCCUCCAUUUUUUUCGCAGUCCCAUUUCCUACCCGUAAUACUUUCUUCUGAUUUUAAAGCCAUUUGAUAGAGAAGGGACAGGGAACAGAACCUUCGCCCCCCGCCUGAGCAGCUGGUAGACUAGAUAUCUUCCAAACAUUAUCUCAUUUACUUCCCUGGAGUUACAAAUAGGUAGAUUUCAUGUCCGUUGAGGGGUGAGAAAGCUGAAACUUUGAGACUUAAGAAUCCUGGCCGAGGUCAGCCUCCUCCGAAGCUUCAUCUCUUGCCACCACUUUCUGGUGCACACCUAGGACAGAUUUCACUCCCUGAGAUCCCAGGAUGAAACCUAUGUUUGCCAAAUACCAGCUACUGUGCCAGAAGAGAUCAUGGAACCAGGUGUGGAAACCUGCUUGAGAAGAGGAGCCAAAACAUCAUAGUUGAACCGUCCUGGAAUAGAAGUGAGUAAGGUGAACCAGGUGUGGUGGCUCAUGCCUGUAAUCCCAGCACUUUGGGAGACCGAGGUGGGAGGAUUGCUUGAGGCCUGGAGUUCAGGAAUAUUCUGGGCAACACAGCAAGAUCCUGUCUCUAUAAAAAAUCCAAAGUUUUUUAAAAUUAAAAAAAAAAAGUGAGUAAGGCAGCUUGAACCGGAAGUGCACAAAACUGCUAUCAAGUUUGCAAGGCUUUUCCCAAUGACUUUGAGGGAUGGAACCUGAAGGAAGCGGGAGGAGGCAAAUAGGGAGGAAAGUGAAAUGAUUUAUAAAUGACUUGCUAAUUUUGUCCAAAGGGAGUAAUGAUAAUUAGGGCAUUCUUCCCACACGAAGAUGACACAAUUGACCCAAUAUCAUUGAGGCAAGCAGUUUGGGCUGUUUUUCCAGUAGUAUGACAGUGACGGUGUGUCAACCCCAGGACCUCACCCACAUUUCUUUGGGACCUAGGAGUGUGGGAAAUAGCAGCCAGAUUUGAGGUACAAAUCAUGGUGUCCAGCCUGCAAAGCCUUUUUGCAGCAAUCUAAGCCUGACUGCUCCUGUUGUAUGGUCAAAGUCAUUUUAAUCUACUUUAGCUUAUUGUAAAAUGUUCAAGAAUUGUAUUUUGUCUUGAAAACCAUGAAUUUUAUUGUUUAUGGGGAGUUAUUUUUUAAGGAGUGCAGGAUUUCAGUUUUGGAUGAUGAAAAAGUUUUGAAGGUGGGUAGUGACAGUGGUCACACAACAUUGUAGAUGUACUUAAUGCCAUUGUACAUUUACAUGGCUUUAAAGUAAACAUGAAAUUUUCUACAUUUGUUUGUUUGAUCAACUGUUAUCCUCCCUAAGGUACUUGAAGUUCUUUCUGACAUUGCCACUGGAACUUACUAUUUAAAUAUUGUUGGUCCUCUUGGAUUCCAUCAGUACUCCAGAGGCUUCCUUCGUUUCUAAUUUAACUCAUCGUGUAAGAAUACGUAAUGCUGUUGUUAGCACUAGGGAAUGUAUCUGAGUCGCAUGCACCAAAGUGUGUUAGCAGCAGCAAAUCUGUAUGGGUCUGCAGCAACCUCAGUUCUUGCCUCCUCCAAAGAAAGAAUUCUACCGAGAGGCAUAAGGCAGAGGGAGAGGCCAAGGCAAGUUUUAGAGCAGGAGUGAAAGUUUAUUAAAAAGUUUUAGAGCAAGAAUGAAACAAAGUAAUGUACACUUGGAAGAGGGCCAAGCGGGCAACUUGAGAGAUUCAAGUGCGCUGCUUGACCUUUGACUUGGGGUUUUAUACGUUGGCAUGCUUCCAGGGGGUUGUGUCCCUUUUUCCCUGAUUCUUCCCUUGAGGUGGGCUGUCUGCAUGUGCGGUGGCCUGCCAGCACUUGGGAGGGACCACAUGCUCAGUGUGUUAACUGAGGUUGUACGCAUGCCCACUUGAGGCAUUCUUCGCUUACUAGUCAAGUGUUCCUAGAAGAAGGUCAUAUAUGAGUACCAGUUAAAUGCCACCAUUUUGCCUCUUAGUGCACACCUGUGAGCCCACUCGGCCAACUCCUAAGAUCCUAUCCAGAAGCUGCUGAUCACCAGUUUUAGGUAUUUUCUAGCCAUUGGGAGACUGCCUUUCCCUGGUGCCGGCUGUGACCAGUUAUUAUUUUAGAGAGACAGUUUAACAACUGCCUGACCACCUGAUGGUUGCGUGACAUUCCUGGUGGGAGCGGGGAGCCCUCUCCUGCUCUGCUCGUGUCUGACUACCUACUGUGGCACUAUAGAAUAAAAUGAGAAAAACUUAAAAUUUGGGACAAUUUUAACAGUUUUAUUGAAGUAUAAUUGAUAUAACAAAGUAUAUUUAAAGUGUUCAGUUUGAUACACACAUAUACACAUAGAUACACCUAUUUAAAAACCCAUCACCACAACAGACAAAGGACAUAUUCAUCAUACCCAAAAGUUUCCUCAUGUAGCCCCUCCCUCCCAGUCUUCCUUACCUCUCCACCCCACCAGGCAACCCCUGAUAUGCUUUAUGUAACUAUACAUUAAUUUUGUAUUUCCUAGAAUUUUAUAUAAUUGGAAUCACACAUUGUAUACUCUGUUUUAUCUGGCUUCUUUCACUCAGCAAAAUUAUUACGAGAUUCACUGACAUUGUAGCAUGUAUCAUUAAUUCAUUCCUUUUAUUACUGAGUAGUAUUCAACUGUAGGGAUACACCAGUGAUUUUACCCAUUCCCUUAUUGAUGAACAUUUUGGUUGUUUCUAGAUUUUGGCUAUUGCAAAUAAAGCUGCUGUGAACAUUCAUGUACAAGUCUUUGUAUGGACAUAUGCUUUAAUUUCUCUCCCAUAAAUACCUAUAAAUGGAAUGGCUGGAUCAAGUGAAAGAUGUAUAUUUCACUUUUUAAGAAACUGCAAACUUUUUCCAAAAUGAUUGUACCAUUUUACAUUCCCACCAGUGCGUAUGAGAGUUCCAGUUCCUCUGCUUCCUCACCAACAGUUGACUCGCCCUGAAUUCUUUCUUGUGUGAAAUCCAAGAACCCUCUCUUGGGGUCGGAUCGGGACCCUGUUCCUGUAACAAGUCCACAAUGCCAGAGAAUUAAAGAGAACCACAAAGCUGAACCUCAAAAAGUUAGCCUGGUGAGGGGAGGAUGAUGAGAUUUCCCCUCUUGUCACAUAAACAAGGAAGUAAAGGAGGCCCCUUGUGCUCUCAGAACUCCAAGCAUGAAACGAUAGCAAAGGGAAAAACAGCUAAGUGUUUCCUGGCUGAAUUUUAUUUUGCUUUCAGUUUCUGCCAUUUCAGUUCCUGUUAUCGUGCUUUGAGGUGCACUGAACUGCAGCAAACCCAGGGGAUCCAAGGCUAUGUUGAAAAGCCUUUGACCACAGUGCAGGGAGCAGAAGACAUUAAUGACGUGAUGUCGACACAGCCCGCACUCAGGAUCCUCCAGGAAAAGAACACAGAGAUAACCCCGGAUCGAUGGUGUUUCCUCAGUUCCUCAAUAAAACGUGCUCAUCAAGCAAGAAAUUUUUGUUGAAGAGCUGGCUUAGGUUGUAACUAUGGGACUGAAAAGGAAAGGGUAGAUAUGAACUAAGUCAAAGGCAGAAUCAAUAGGUGAGGACAAAGGAGAGGAACAGUAAAAGUAAUUUCAAGGAGAGAAGAGGAAGACAAGAGAAAAUUCUGGGGAUAAUGAAACAAAAAAGGCAACCAAUUAUAAUUUGGGUAAGGAAAGAGUGAAAAAGCAAAAAUGAUUCCAAAGUUUGUUGCUUGAGGGACAUGAUAGAAGCUAGUGGGCUAGCAUUAGUUAACUACUCCAGUGCGAAAAGGAGGAGCUAUGUCAAAUUCAUGUUUAAAAUGAGUGGGCAGCAAGAACACAGUUGUAGAUGAUUUGUUUUUAGAGUGCUAGAGGGAUGGGCCCUAACAAAAGAAUGUCGAAGGCGGACAAGAUUUGGGUGUCUGCUCAUUGUGCGCCAGGGCUGAAAUCAUGGGAAGAAACCCCGUGAGGCUCAAACGCUGACCUGUAGGGAGAAGGACAAUUUUCUUUAACACUUACAAUGAUGUUCUUAUUGUUGGUAAAAGGUGCUUAAUACAUUGCUAUCAAAUGCCUUUUGGGGGA